rnacentral:misc_RNA from 1 species
AAGUCGUAACAAGGUCUCCGUUGGUGAACCAGCGGAGGGAUCAUUAAAGAGUUUAAUAAAACUCCUAAACCCCUGUGAACUCACUAUGUUGGAUUCUCGCCAGAGAUAGUCUGGUUUCUGCAAGCGGAUCGCCUGCCCGUGACACCUGUCACAGGUAGGUAUGCUUCUGCAGCGGGUUCGCAUGUAAAUCGACUGUUUCACAAGAGACGGCGAUUUACCUGUGGAAGAGGUCCGCUAACUAUAUUCUUAGUAUAGUUUGUUCACUAGAUCAAACAUUCUGAAUAAAAACUUAAACUAGUUAAAACUUUCAACAACGGAUCUCUUGGUUCUG